rnacentral:rRNA from 1 species
UACGUAGGUCCCGAGCGUUGUCCGGAUUUAUUGGGCGUAAAGCGAGCGUAGACGGCAAUGCAAGUCUGGAGUGAAAGGCGGGGGCCCAACCCCCGGACUGCUCUGGAAACUGUAUAGCUGGAGUGCAGAAGAGGGAAGUGGAAUUCCAUGUGUAGCGGUGAAAUGCGUAGAGAUAUGGAGGAACACCAGUGGCGAAGGCGGCUUCCUGGUCUGCAACUGACACUGAGGCGCGAAAGCGUGGGGAGCAAACAGG